rnacentral:rRNA from 1 species
CUACGGGAGGCAGCAGUGGGGAAUAUUGGACAAUGGACCAAAAGUCUGAUCCAGCAAUUCUGUGUGCACGAUGAAGGUUUUCGGAUCGUAAAGUGCUUUCAGCAGGGAAGAAAAAAAUGACGGUACCUGCAGAAGAAGCGACGGCUAAAUACGUGCCAGCAGCCGCGGUAAUACGUAUGUCGCAAGCGUUAUCCGGAAUUAUUGGGCGUAAAGCGCGUCUAGGCGGCCUUUUAAGUCUGAUGUGAAAAUGCGGGGCUCAACUCCGUAUUGCGUUGGAAACUGGAAGGCUAGAGUAUCAGAGAGGUGGGCGGAACUACAAGUGUAGAGGUGGAAUUCGUAGAUAUUUGUAGGAAUGCCGAUUGGGAAGCCAGCUCACUGGAUGAAUACUGACGCUGAAGCGCGAAAGCGUGGGGAGCAAACGGGAUUAGAUACCCCGGUAGUCCACGCCGUAAACGAUGAUCACUAAGUGUGGGGGGUCGAACCUCCGUGCUCAAGCUAACGCGAUAAGUGAUCCGCCUGGGGAGUACGCACGCAAGUGUGAAACUCAAAUGAAUUGACGGA